UACGUAGGGUGCGAGCGUUUAAUCGGAAUUACUGGGCGUAAAGCGUGCGCAGGCGGUUUUGUAAGCCAGAUGUGAAAUCCCCGGGCUUAACCUGGGAAUGGCAUUUGGGACUGCAAGGCUUGAGUUGCGGCAGAGGGACUGGAAUUCCUGGUGUAGCAGUGAAAUGCGUAGAUAUCAGGAGGAACACCGAUGGCGAAGGCAGGUCGUCUGGGCUGACACUGACGCUCAUGCACGAAAGCGUGGGGAGCAAACAGG
rnacentral:rRNA from 1 species